rnacentral:lncRNA from 1 species
GCUGCCCACUACCUCAUUCCCAUCAAUGGACAAUGGCUGGGAGAGAAAGCCUCCGUGACUGUAUCACGGAACAGUCUCCACUCCAGGUUAUGGAUCCACUGUUGGGCAGUUCUACACUGCUCACAUCCGGAUGCCGAUUCUGCCAGCAAAUCCAUCUGAUUCUAUCUCUCUCUCCGGUCUGUCUAACUCUAGGUUCUGCACAUGUCUAACAUGUGGUUGUGUGAGUGCCAGAGUGCAAGCUCUUGGGAGGCAGGGGACACAUUUAUUGAUGUUGUAUCACCAACAUUUAGUACAUGCCUGCUAAAAAGUUACUGUCAACAUAUUUGUUGAACAAUGAUUACUGGAUGGGUGGAUGAAACAUCAAUAUGACUUGCCCAAGGGCAGUUAUGAAUGUCUCCAAAACUAUUUCAGGGGUAAUUCAUGAACAUGUCCUCUGAGGAUUCUUCUUCCAUCUCUAAGUCAGUUCCUAUGAUAUGACUACCUCAGGGCAAGAAAGUCACUGUGUCCCUGCUACAACAAAAGAUCACUCAUGUUUCCCGACCACUCAUGUUACCCUCUCUCUUCUCAAGAGGGCAUUUCCUUUCAAUGAUGUGAUUUUACAUACUGCAUGCCUGUAUCAAAACAUCUAAUGUAUCCCAUAAAUAUACAUAUAUCU